GUUUGAUUUUUUGAUUUUGUUUUUGGUUCUUGUAUUUUGUUUUCUGUUAUUAUUGGUAUUAUCAUUGAAAUGUUGCAAUUUUAGGUGGUGGUGGUUGGGUGGCUGCUAUGGCAGAUUUGAGGUGUGGUGGUUGUGAUAUUUGGAAUGGAGUGAUAAUUGAGAAAUAGGUUUGUUUCAUCUGCUCAGUCUAUAUUGAGACAAACCAAUUUUAAAGGUGCGAAGUUACUAGGUGCUAGCUUCUUUGAUGCAGAUUUAACAGGGGCUGAUCUUUCGGAUGCUGAUCUAAGAGGGGCAGACUUUUCAUUGGCAAAUGUGACAAAGCUAUGUUUGGGCAGCUGCUGGUAAGCAGCCAGAUCUUGAAACGCAUGUAGGAGUCUGUUUGGGCAGCGCUUAUAUCUGAUGAACUCUAUGAGGACCUCAAAGUACAGUGCAAUGAGAACUAUGUGAAUAUAGAUCCAACCAAUACAAAAUGUGUAGCUGCUUAUGAACUUUACAAAAAAGAAAGAUGAUUAGUAGUCCAGUUCCUAUUUAAAAACAAAUAAUUUUCUUCAAGCUGCCCAGAAAUGACUGAUUAAUUUUAUUUUU